rnacentral:rRNA from 1 species
CUACGGGGGGCACCAGUGGGGAAUAUUGGACAAUGGGGGAAACCCUGAUCCAGCAAUGCCGCGUGUGUGAAGAAGGCCUGCGGGUUGUAAAGCACUUUCGGUUGGGAGGACUGCUUCUAGCACUAAUAUUGUUGGAAGUUGACGUUACCUUCAGAAGAAGCACCGGCUAACUCCGUGCCAGCAGCCGCGGGUAAUACGGAGGGUGCAAGCGUUAAUCGGGAAUUACUGGGCGUAAAGCGCGCGUAGGCGGCUAGAUCAGUCGGGUGUGAAAGCCCCGGGCUUAACCUGGGAACUGCAUCCGAUACGGUCUGGCUUGAGUACAGGAGAGGAGAGUGGAAUUCCACAUGUAGCGGUGAAAUGCGUAGAUAUGUGGAGGAACACCAAUGGCGAAGGCAGCUCUCUGGCCUGAUACUGACGCUGAGGUGCGAAAGCGUGGGGAGCAAACAGGAUUAGAUACCCCGGUAGUC